AGGGUAAGAGGUGUUGCUUUAUCC
rnacentral:siRNA from 1 species